GACGUAGGGCGCGAGCGUUGUCCGGAUUUAUUGGGCGUAAAGAGCUCGUAGGCGGCUUGUCGCGUCGAAUGUGAAAACUCGGGGCUCAACUCCGAGCUUGCAGUCGAUACGGGCAGGCUAGAGUUCGGCAGGGGAGACUGGAAUUCCUGGUGUAGCGGUGAAAUGCGCAGAUAUCAGGAGGAACACCGGUGGCGAAGGCGGGUCUCUGGGCCGAUACUGACGCUGAGGAGCGAAAGCGUGGGGAGCGAACAGG
rnacentral:rRNA from 1 species